UACGUAGGGUGCGAGCGUUGUCCGGAAUUAUUGGGCGUAAAGAGCUUGUAGGCGGUUUGUCGCGUCUGCUGUGAAAUCUCAAGGCUCAACCUUGAGCUUGCAGUGGGUACGGGCAGACUAGAGUGUGGUAGGGGAGACUGGAAUUCCUGGUGUAGCGGUGAAAUGCGCAGAUAUCAGGAGGAAUACCGAUGGCGAAGGCAGGUCUCUGGGCCACUACUGACGCUGAGAAGCGAAAGCAUGGGGAGCGAACAGG
rnacentral:rRNA from 1 species